rnacentral:lncRNA from 1 species
GUCGAGACCUAUUCGCUCGUGCUCUCGCGUCGUCCCGAAGGCGCACGAUUUACGGUAUAGACACUAAACAAUCACUUAAAUGUUUAUUUUGUGCAAUUAUUGAAAUGUUUAGGGGUUUAUUUGCAAAUGUCGUUGCAUAGGCUGCCGCGGGCAGCGCGUGGUCACUGUGUGUGACACUAUGGACUAGUCGUCUAGGUUUCGAAGCCUUCGUGUAAACGAAAAAAGGUUUCGGUGCGUUUCUAACAAAGUCACCGAUAGAACACGAAUUCGCAUCGUGAUGAGUUUCCAGCUGCGUGGUUGCCUUGGAAAUCAUCACCUAGCCUUGUUGGCUAGCCGUCGUGGUUGCCUCGAGUGUUCGGAGGCAACAGGUGAGCGGCAGAGGGUUCCAGUGCCAAAUUGGACACUACCGGAAGCUCCGAUGAUAACCGAGUUAACCUAGAAGUUUGUAGUUGCUCCCCAGACACCCAAAUUGGUGCGCUUCAGGUCAGCGAGUGACUCGUGGCACAAGUCGCGGCGUUUCGAGACAUUUCGAGGGUCUUGGGGACAUCCCGGUGCUUUUUUCAGGAUUCCCGACGAGUUCGGGAAUCGAUUUUAGGAAACCUAUUCGGCGAGUGGUUUGGGAUUGUGAUCGAUGUGUAUCAAGUCGGUAAGAUUAGAUCCUGACUCUGUGGACCUAACUUAGGUCCAGUCGACGAUCCUCGACCACGGGAGCUAGGUGCAGCUGCAGACACAGGUGGGUAUUUUGAUCGAAAGUCGGUAUUGUGGUGCACGCUCGGUGAUGUUCCCUUCACUCUUACUUGUUCUUGCAUAUAUCUAGUCUAUUCUAGCUUGACACCAUAUGACUUCGCUAUACAUAUGCUCUACUUAGUUAUGCUCUUGUUUUCCUAUGUCAUAACCUAGAAGUAGAGCAGUAGUGGUUACUUUUACAUGAUCGUGUACAUUAUUGUUGACCUAAGUGGUUGGUUCUUGUGGAUACCCCAUUGUUGACCUGAGUGGUCGGUUCUCGUGGAUGCAUCAUUGUUGACCUGAGUGAUAGGUUCUCGUGGAUAGGAUGACCUGAGUGGUCGGUGCUCCUACACUCAUGUUGUUGAUGAACUCGUACUUUCUUAUUGACCUGAGUUGUCGGUUCUUAUAGAUACAUCCUAAAUGACCUGAUUUGUUGGUGCUCCUAUACUCAUGUUGUUGAUGACCUCGUACUUUCUUGUUGACCUAAGUGGUCAAUACUCUGUUGAUGACCUUGUACAAUCUAGUUGACUUAAGUGGUCAGUGCUCAUAUACCAGUAUUGUUUCAAUGACCUAUUGGUCGGUGCACCCUAAGGGGUUAGAUUGUCAGUAUUCGCCGACGAACAGCUAUUGAUCAUAUUCGCAUCGAUCGCCACAGCUCGUGAGCAUUUCACAUACACCAACGGUCUGAUCCACUGCAAGACGGUGUUCUUUUCCAGUAAAGUAGUCCUACGUCCAACCCGUGAGCCCAGUGCUAGGGUUAUAUGCCAGGUGUGCAAGCAGAACGUGGCUUUUGCCUGAGUUCUUUAGACCGACACGGCGAUGCAGAUUAAGUACUUUUGGACUUCGUUCGGUUGACACAUAUUGGUUACAAUAGCGGUCGUUGCAUUAUAGUUCCAUUUCCUCUCACUUAUAUUGCUACCAUAGACUCUCCUUUAUAUAUACUCGGUUACCCGUGAGUACACUUGCCUUCAUCGGCUUGGGGUACCCACUGGAAAACCCUUUGUUGGUUUCUCACCCCUCUGUCUACAGGUUGUUAAGUCUUGUGUGUUGGCAAGUUUCAUGAAGUGAGUCGGAGUCUUGAAGGAUCGGUGCGUAUCGUCGAAGAUCGAAGAAUCCAAGACUUCGAAGAAAUCGAAAAAUAACUCAUGACGUGAAUCACGAUGUCCAGAUAAGUUUUUAAUUCAUGUUAUAAUGAUUCAUACUUAGUUAUAGGCAUUAGAAUCAUAAACUCAAAGUUUACUCGAUUAGAAAGUGCGUCGGAACUUUGCGAAACUCGAAACUGUGAAAAAAAUCAGAUUUAUGCAAAGUGUACCGGUACAACAUCGGAAGUGUACCGGUACAAAAUGUGUUCCGGUACAACCAGCGACUUGUCACCGGUUACAGUGUUGCGCAGGUUUUCUCUUCCGUCAUCGUGUAACCGAUAACAGCUUAAAAGUGUACCGGUACACAAUGUAAAAAAUCCGAAAAGCUUUCAAUUUUCAAAUCCAACUCUAAUUGAUUCUAAAGUCUAUAAAUAAGCUAUUAGAGGUUCUCUAACAAAUUAAGUAUCAUGAGAAUACAUGUUUGAGAAACCCUAGAGGCUAGGAUUUCGUUCAUAACCUAUUUUCUACAAAAUAACCUCUUUUAGGUCAAUUCGAGAUAUCGUAAUUCGAGAUCUUAAUGUCGAAUUGAUCUAAGACUUCGUUUAGAGUUUGGUCUCUGGUUCUUCAUCAACAUUCUAAGCGAAGGAUCACCAUAGCAUGAUGUUUUUCAUGGAUGGCGUCGUGGAUUCGGCGUGAUUAAAGGCGGUUCGUGGAUUCGGAUCGUAGGCUCGUGGAUUCGAGUGGCGUUCGUGGAUUCGGACGUGUCCGAGGCAUUCGUGGAUUCGAACGUGAGGGCGUGGACAACCUGGAGGAUUGCGCGAGAUUCGUAAGAGGUUAAGAGAGGUCGAGUCUGUGGAGUCGGUAAUCACCUUAUAAUCUUUUCUCUUAGUGAAUUAUUUUUUUCGCGUGUUGGUCCCGUGGGUUUUUCUCCAAAUUGGAGUUUUCCCACGUAAAUCUCGGUGUGAUUUUUAUUUUUCACACUUAUUUUUAUCGCAUUAAGAUUUGUGGUUUUUGGGUAUUACACCUAUUCACCCCCCUCUAGGUGUUGGAUACAAUCUAGAUAGAUCCUUGGGCUCCUUUAAAACUUACACAGGUGACACGGGUUGGAGCUAUCGAGACGGUGCGUGAGGCCGUAGAUAGCAUGGGAUAGAGGUCCCAGCCUUACAGUAUCAGUUUUUGUUUGAUUCAUAAUGUAUACAUGUUAGUAGAUGGACUUGACAGCUCAAAUUCUUGGCACGCUUAUACUUGUUAGUAGUUAGACAGUAUUGUGGUUCAAUAGAUUUACUAGUGAAACUUUGGUUACAUAUGAGGUUUUGGACUUAGAUUUCGAAAGAAGGUUUUAAAAUAUACUAGUGGUUUUCGCAAAUAAUGGAUUUCUACUCCUCGCGGUAGCUUGUUUUUAAAAUAAAGGUUUUCAUGCGGAAAACGGUUUUCAAAAUGGUCUCCGGCUUUUCGAGGCUUUUCGAAAAGUUAAGAGUUUCAAAAUAAGGUCUUCGUGUGGGAGACGCUUUCAACUAAUAGGGUGAAUGUGGAAUGAUUGUGACUAAGGGCGGUAGCUGUAUAACGUGGAAACUUGUUGAAUGUUGAUCCUUGUACUUGUGGGUCUUGUGUGUGUGAGUGGUAUGUCAUGGUUGUCACUUGUACUAUGUGCUACGCCGUGCUAAUACAGGGAAGACUGUCCAUUUAAACAAAAAAUUUCUUGUAUUUGUGGCGGGUCUAUUACGUCCUUGGGUCAAGGUUAGAAAAAGAAGAAAAAAAAAAUUAGGCACUUUUUCACUGAUUCUCAGUUACUAAAUGGCCCGAUUUCAAAAUGGCUUUACAAAAAGGGACCCCGGAACGUGACACUAAGAUAAACAAUCAGGACCACACCGGAAUGUCGAUCGGGUGAUUGCAGAUCGUGAGAAUGUGUGAUGCUACCACUUCCACAGUAAGAAUUAUGCCAUAACAAUCGUACAAGGUACCACCGACAAGCCUAGGGUACUAAAGGAAGUGCCCUUGGGGCACACAAAGGGUCUGACGAAUGAAAGUGAUGCGGACCGGGUCCCUUGUCAGGUGUACGAACGUCGUUGACGCUGCAAAUGCAACUUGAGCAUGUGGCUCGAUCAAUCCGGACUGGGUUCGGAUUGAAUUGCACCCGUUAAUUUCUAGAAGUAUCUAGGAUUAUGCGAUUUUGUUUAAAAAUCUGUUUCUUUGGGUAAGUUAAGAUUUUAGUUAUUCUGUUAGAAUAGGUUGAGAUUUUUAUUCUAUUAGGAUAAGUGGAGAUUAUAUUAUGAUAUUUUUAUUUUGUUAGGAUGGUUGUUGAGAUUUUAUUUCGAGCUUAUUCAUCUGUUAGGAAAGCUCUUUAAAUAAGCCUAUGUAUGUAACGAUUAAAAUAGUGAAGAUGAAUAUUGCUAUAGCCAUUGAAAUGUGUUCUCUAGUAUCCUUCGCAUUUAUGCGUCGAUCAGAGUGAGUCCGUGGGGAGUGAGUCCCUUUAUCUUUCUUUUCUUUUCUUUUCUUUUCUUUUUCCUUCUGCCUGCAUUCAUCGCUGUCAACAUCACCCACCAUCGACGUCGUCUCUACCAUCGCAGCCACCGUCACCUGGAGUCGCGACCGCCUACAACGCCGCCCUGUCAUGACGUCUCAUUGCCACCUGCAAACAUCACCACUGUCUUGCCUCGCCACUACCGAUCGGUACGCUCGAGCCACCUCCCGAUCAUUUCGACGUCAAUGAUCAAACCAAUGCCAUCUAGCUUGUCCACCAAGCACAAUCGGUUUUCUUUUCUUUUAUCCUUCUAAUCAUCUUAUCUCAAUCCUCUCAUUUAUUCUCCCUCUCCCCAACCCCCUUCCUUUAAAUAACUCCCCUUUGCUUUUUGUCCAUAGAUGCUGCCCAAAGAGAGACUUGGAUCCGAUAGAUUAAGAACGGGCUGUCCCUUUUCAAUUUGGAGUUACUAAUAUCGCCUACAGAGCGUUGACAGAUUAGAUCGAAUGUCACGCCCCGAGCCCGCCUAUUUGGUCGGUUCGGGCACGCCGACAGACCGCCAAACGGACAGAGUUUUCCCUGUACGUCCAAGGCGUCGCAAUCAUUACAAUCACAAGAGGUUCCAAACAGGAACAAUAUUCAGACAACGAUUGCAUAAGGAAGGUAUCAAACAACAUAAAUCCUAUGCUAUUACAAGCAUUCACAUUUAUGUUACAUUAUUUGCAAUACAUCCUCAACUUCCAAAUACAAUCAUAAUUAUUACAAGUUUAUUUCUUUCAUCUCUAACCCCUAAGCUAGGCCACUUUGGGGUACCGCUAUCUCUGGUCUCGGUGGUAAGGCGCUAUCUACGGAGCUACGCCCUCUCCUUGCGCCGCCGCGCCGCUCACGUGCGAACCUGUAACCCCCAAAACCACACGGGGGUGAGAACUAUAUAAAUAUAGUUCCCAGUGGGUACGGCCACCCAAGGGAAGAGCUCGACCCACCAGGUCCGAAGGAGGCAAGCUGCAGGUUAGUUCAAUAAACAGAUAGAUAUGAUAGUAAAAUUAUGCAACUAACAAUACCAUGCAUUGCCUCGCGAUAUGCAAUAAUGCAACUAUAUAGCCAACUAGUAGUUCAAUUGAUACUACUUUCAAUCCUGCUAUCCAUAGCUCAUCCAAUUGACUUCUAAGUUUUCCUCUAUCUUAGAUUCAUGUCAAUUACCAUUCUAAUCAUAAGGUUUCAUUGACCUUUACUGUUUGCUCACAAGGUUUUUAUCUACCUUUACAAUGCACAUAAUUCUCAUGAAUUUAUUACCCAAUCCUCUAGCUGGCCCAUAGGCGCGCCCUCAACUCACAUCUCAAAUCCGUCUAUGGAAGGGGACUCGAACCCCCGAGGGACCGUCUGCGGGACCCCAUAUAGGCUAUCCCUUGGGACCCCAAAUAGGCUAUCCCAAUCGUUUCACGUGCCAAGACUCCGGAGCUCGCACUACUUGUGCGGGGCGACCGCCACAAGCGCUGAACAGACUGUGUGAGUAUGAUCAAAUCCGUUUCCAACGAAGGUACCCGGUCACUAUGACCAACAUGCACAAGUGUUCUUUUAACACUACGUUCUAAUGCCACUCGUCAAGUUGUUUACUUGGUAUACAUAUGCCACUCGUCAAGUAUGUACUUGGUUCACAUGUCACUUGCCAUAAUGCAAUUGUCCCGACUAUACUAGUCAUAUAUCAUCAUAUUCAUCAAUACAAGAUCAAGUUAUUGUUUAACUUAUCUCUAUAGGGUUCUAUGUCACCAUUCCUCUAUUCUCAUGCGUCCUAACUCAAGUGCCAACUCAUGUUGCUACACUACUAUGGAUCAUGCAAGAAUAGAAAUGCGACUAUCUAAUACCCUAUCAUGUAUAUGUAUCAACUAGCAUCUCAUGAUAUGUCAACAUCAUUUAGUAUAUGCCUCAUGUCAUCAUGCAUUUACAUUAUAUGCAUCAAGAAGUGUUAUACUUUCGCUUCGACAUGGAAGUGAGCUAAUAACUUCGGUGAGCACAACCCACCUGUUAGCGCAUUCCGAUUGCUUGUCGACACUUGCAAUCGGCCUCCCGCAGCAUCCGGUGCCCGGUUCUGCCGGAACUUGCAAUUGCGCACCGACCGCGCAUCGCUUCGCAACCUCGGGCAAAAAGGGUCUUCGUUUUGUUGUUACGGUGCCUCAAAUCAGAUUCCAUGAUUUUACGACGUCGCCUCGGCCCUCCCGGCGGACCCGAAGCCUAAACGUCCGUUUCUUUAAUAACUUCGCACCGGCUCCACGAAUCGCCGAACCGUCUUCGCCAACGCGUUCGUUUACCUAUCAAUUAGGUUUACGAAGGGUCAAAUUAGAUCAAACCCCACCUAAUUUGCAAACCCCCAUUUUCACACCUUAGCCUCAACAUAUGCUCCAAACAAUCCAAAUAUUAAGGAUUUAACAAGCUAACUUCACAUUAGAGGCUAUUAGAACCCUUAAAGCUAAGGAUUAAGCCAAAUCCCAAAAGCUUACCCCAAUGUGAACGCCGCAACGAAAACACGUCGCUCCAACGGGCGCACGAAAGCUCAAUCCGUCGCCUCCAACGCGUUCGCAAGCUCGAUCUCCACCAACGCCGCGAAUUUGGGCGAAAGAUCUAGAGAGAUGAGAGAGAUAUUUAGAGAGAGAAAGAGAGGGUUUCUCUCUCCUUCACCAUGAACGCAUGGUAGUGGUGAUGGUGGUCGGCUGAUGGAGAGGGAGAAGCCUAGUAGCUUCUACUUAUAGUCAACCCUCAAUAGUAGCAUACACUAUUCACAUCAGGCAGCUCCAAAUCUGAUAUCUUUCGCCGGAGCUCCCUGAAUAUCCGUUUGAGCUCAAAUUUGACAGUCAUAUUCGGUUUUACUUAAAGAGUCCAAAGAAAUUUUAAUAUUUCAGUUUCGACCCCAUUUGGUCACCGAAAACUGUGCCGAACUGCAAUCUUUAUCAGAUGGCUUUCGGAUUUUAUUUCUCACUCUACGGGGGUCAGAAAAAUAUGAAACUUUAAAUCUAGCCUCAUUAAAAUAUUUCCGACUUAUCCUCCAAUUUUUAUAAUUUUAUGAGACUGUGCAUUUUCUGCUAAUUUAUCUGUUCCGUUUCCAACAGAAAAUUCUAGAUCUUCUGUUUUCGCUCCGAUUUCAGCACAAGUCACUCCUGACUUAUGUUUUACUCCUCUAAAUCCAAUAAAAAUAGUUUCUCAUACUAUUUUUAUUUAUUUUUAUUUUAUAUUUAAAAAAAAUCCAGUAUGUUACAUUCCACCGCAACCUCACCGGAACCAUUUAAAUGUACACCGUAACUUCAUAGUUUUAGAAGUCCGGUACCUUACAUCGAACAUCCCCAAUUUCUUAAUUAAUUUUAGCUUCGCGUCAUCUAUCGGCCCCCUUCUUUGUUUUUGGUCUAGAACUAUUUUCUUUUUCUUUUUCUUUGCGAGUCCGGAUUGUAGGUCCCGUUGUGUUGCAUUCAACUUGCAUUAGAGAACCUUUUAAUAAAAGGAUUUGAUUGCAUACAACAUUUCAUGUUUACAUUCAUCCUACAUAAGAAGGUGCUACUCCACUGGAGUAUGUGUGUAAUUAAAAAUUAAAGUCAAUCCGCAAAAGAAUAACAAGAAAUUCUUAUUCGGAGGCUCCUUUGGCAGUAGAGCAGCGAAGCAAAAGACCAAAAGAGGGGGCAGGUUGAUAGCAAAAAUUAUAUUACACUCGGGGUAGCUCAGUGGAAUAUACAACAUACAGGGCACUACUGGAACCUAUUGGACUGUGUAAAAGCAGAACACGUCCCAACGGCAAAUCGGGCACCAAACAAGAAUCAAAACGAUGGCCAGAACAUAAGCUACCUAAAUCGAUCGUCAACCUUGUAUCUCGUCCCUCGACGAAGUAAACAAGGCAUGUCAUCUGUCUCAUAGAAGAAUCUAAUGAGCGGUAGGGUAUAUUACAUAAAUUGAUACUCAUAGAUGAACAUGAGCUGAGCAAUACUGAGCCACUCCUUACAAACUACAUGUAACGAAUCAGAGCCCUAAACCUAAUCUACUUCUCUUUAAAAAAAAAAAAUUUCAAUUUUUCAUCCCUUCUUUCCUCGUUUUCUUGCCUUGGGAAGCCCAUGACACACGUAGAUUCAGUAAUAGUAAAGCAAAAAAUUAUGAUGUGUAAAACAAUUCCUAUAUAAGACAUGGUCUAUGGCAGUAGUUUAUUUGACAUUAGAUGUUAAUAGUGCCCCAAAAGUUGCAUUCCUGGCAACAUUUAAAUACAUGCAUUUUAUAAUACAUUUUGAUGCGGGACAAAUUAGGAUAACUCUAAUCUAUCUUGCAAGUGAUGAGUCCAAAAUCAAUUUAAAACCAAAUUUAGAAUUUUCUAAAAAUCUUUAGAUUAAUUUUUAGUUUUUUUAAUUUAUAAAAGAAUUAAUGAAGUUUUAAAUUAAUUUUCAGAAUUAAAAAAAAAAGAAAAAAUAAAACAAGUAGUACGGCUCUAAGAAAAGGUUCAAAUUUUUUUAUUUUGUAAUUUUUUUUAAUAAAGUAGCCAAUAAUAGGGGAAAAGAAAAUUUAGAAGAAGGAGAAGAGAGAAAUAGAUGAAAGGAGAAAAGAAGAAGAGAAAGAGAAUAUAGAAUCUCGUAGAAAGAAGAAUCUUGCCGGCGCACACAGCAGAGAAGAGGAAGGGAAGAAGAUACCAUGAUCGCAGUCAAAACACAAAUCCAAAUUUUAUUCCAUCAUCACUCAUCUCUCCAAAUUACAAGGCAUAGGCUAUAUUUAUAACCUUCCAAACAUAAUCCUAAUCUAAUUCAAAUUCCAUUAUUUUAGGAAUCUUUUCUAAUUCGAAUAUAUCUAUAAAACACCUAAACUAUAUCCCUAAUUUUUAGAGAUUUAUUUCAUAUGAUAAAUCCUAAAAAAAUCUUUAAACCAACUAAAACAAAUUAACAAACAAAAUAAUUCCAAAAAUUAGAAAAAAUAAUUAAAAACCUAAACGAAUAAAUAAUAUUUGCAUCCAAUUCUGCAUCACAUUCCUUGUCACUAUUUCAAGAACAACUCAGGGAUUGGCUAGUAUUUUACCAUCACAAUCCAAGCCUCAAAUGCAUAAACAAGAGGAGACCACAAAUUAUCAAGAAGCUUAUAGAUGAUACCAGUGGUGGAUCCAAAAAAUUUUCAUAGUAGGGUAAUAUAUAAUGAACAAAAAUAUAAAAUAAAUAAAGAAUUAGUGUACUAAAUAUAUUUUUAUGUACUAUAACAACUCAAACAACUACUAUUUACAAACAAAAAGAAUAAAUUCACAAGUAAUAAAAAGCAAAUAGAAAUCAAUACACAUAUCUAAUACUUUGCAACCCAGUUAAAAAAUUGGGUGGAAAGAGAUUUAGUAGGCACGUAAGUGGUAUUGGGUUUGGUCUUUGGAGUCUUAAUAAUACACUAAUUAGAUUAUCAUGUGGUUAAAAUAAGCGUAAGAAAAAGAUAGGAUGAAAAAAAGUUUGGAUUUUUUAUUUUUUAAAGAUGCUGCUACUGCUGGAUCCACUACCCUUUUUUGUGUUCGACUUUUAACCCUCUGUCUUCUUGGGGGCCCACUACCACAUGGGCCCACAAGAAAUAAAGAGAUGGCACUGGUACACAGCACCAUCUUUUUUAUUGACCUCACUUUGGGGCCAUUUAUGUUAGGGUCAACUAGCCCCAUAGUAGGGUCAAAGAGACAAUGGAAGGCCUUUCAUUAGUUUACAUUAGUGGGGUCAAUAGACCCCACUGAAGUUAAGGUGGAUUUGCCACUACAUGAUAGUUCAACUAAAGACACGCCAACACAAAUAUCACAACCUUCGAAGGCAAUAAUAAUUCUAAUAAAACUAUGUGAUUCUAAAAUGCAGAGUGUUGUGAGAACCGAUUUGGUAUAAAAGAGAGGACCUUUCUUACAAAAUAACCUCUAAAAUUUUAUAAUUUGCGAAAUAACCCAAUCUAAUUGAUAUUUGGCAAACUAAUUCUCGAAACACGGUGAAUCGUUCACCGCAUUUUGAAAGAUUUCAAGGUCAUUUAAAGGCAGUGAAUCAUUCACCGCAUUCAUUAAGGCGGUCAAUGAUUCACCGCCUUCUUCAUAAUUUUUUGGAAAGAGAAAAAAAAGUGAGGUUGUUAAAAAUUGUACGUAGAUUAUACGGGAAAUAAAAAAAGUGAGGUUGUUAGGAUUGUAUAUGGAUUAUUAGAAUUUUUUUUUGAUUGUUAGAAUUUGUAUGGAUAGAUUAUUAGGAUUUUUCUUAUUGCUAGGAUUGUAUGGAUAGAUUAUGAGGAUUUUUAAGUUCUUAAGAUAUGUGAUGUUUGAUGAUUAGGAUUGUAUGGAUAGAUUAUUAGAAUUUUUUUGAUUGUUAAAAUUGUAUGGAUAGAUUAUUAGAAUUUUUAGAUUGUUAAGAUACAUGUGAUUUGUUGAAAUAUUUAUGUGAUUGCUAGGAUUAUAUAUAGGAUAUAGAAAGAAACAGUAAAUAAGUGAAAGACAGUGAAUUAUUCACCGCUUUUGUGAGGAAUACGGAAGGCGGUGAAUCGUUCACCGUCUUUAUGAAGGCGGUGAAUCAUUCACCGUCUUUAAGAGAAAAUUCCAACAUAACUCCUACAUGGCAAAAAAAAGGAUUAGUUUUUCAAAUAUAAUUUUAGCAGGUUUAUUUCGCAAAUACCAAAAUUUUAGAGGGUUAUUUUAUUUAAAAAAAAGUCCUAAAAGAGAGGUUUAAGGGUCAGAGAUUCAACCAACGUCGAAUUAGGGUUUAACCAUAAUUACAGCAAAUAGUUUUUUAAUAAAUGUAUGUUAAAAAAAUUAUACAAGAUUUGUUGUGUUCAAUGCCUAAGUGGUCAACGAACAGUCAACCUUUUACUUAAAAAGGUUUGAUAUUCAAACCCUAUAACACCCAAGAAGUGGAAUUUUCCUUUCUAUUCUUUUCUAUUCUCAAUAGGGGCUAAUAUGACUGCCCAAUUUAAAUUGUUUACAGCAUAAAUUAGCCAAUUCUUUUUACGAUUUUCUUCAUGAAACGAUUUGUAAGCUAGGAUGAAAUAGACAAUACCAAAUUGGCAGUCGGACCAGUUCCUAGUUAAGCUGUUCCAACCAGCCCGUCAGUUCCGGCUUUCUAAACCUAGAAAAUAUACCUAACAAUAACAGUUCCAACCUCCUCUAGAAUAGCAUUAUUGAUGCACUUCGGAAAUGAGCCUUCUCAUAUUUUUAGCUCUUUAAGUUCUAAUUUUUGUUUAAGAACUUAUGUUUUAAUUGUGAUUGAUUAGUCAUUUUCAGAUUGUUAGUGGUGUGCCAUUCCGAUGAUGCACAUGGGUGGGUAUUAAGAAGAUAUCUAUCUUCUCCAUAAUUGCUUUGAUUUAUUCACUGGGCUUUUAAUGAUUUUAGAAGCUGUUCGAGUCCGAUUCAAGUGCAAUCUUAAAUUGCCCAAUCAGUUUACUUCUAAUUGAGUUAAUUCUUUCAUCUUUGCACUUUUGGUUCAGAUCUGAAUAACUGGGGCUUCAUAUUUGGGUUUGGGUUUCAAUUAAUGCCCUAUGAUUCAUUAAACCCUAGCAGGUUCAACCUAUUUUCCUAAUUGCCAGACCCUUUUCCUUUGGAUUGCUUGUCGGACUAUUAUCGGUGUUGCCUGACCCUUGUCCUUUGGAUUUCUAGUCGGUCUAUUAUCGGUGGAUCUAAUUAAAAUAACUAUUUGCUGGUUCCGGCAUUGAGGUAAGAUGUUGGUAAUUUUCAGCUGAGGUUUCUGCAUCCUCUUGCGUCGUCUCUGCUUUGACGAUCUCCUCCUCUCUUUCAGCCAUGGGUUAGGCCCUUCUCUUCUCCUCUUUGCUGCCCCUGGAUUGGGCAUCCUCUUCUCUCUUCUCUCUCGCGCUCUCCUCUCGCUGCAUCCUCUUCUCUCUUCUCCUGCUGCGCUGGAUUGGGCUUUCUUUUCUUCCACACCCUCCCUUUGCUGCCAUUUAUACGCUACCAUCCUUGCUGCUGUUCUUCUCAAACCUGACCACUGUUAGAGCCCAAUUGAUGGUGAUUUAGAAUAAGGAUUGUUCCAGACUGAACUGCAUCUGAUCAAGGCUUCAGUAUUAUUAAUUCUCGACAGCCUUCUGAAGAUAAAAAAAGUCCUGAGCACACCAAUAGGUUCUUGGUUCCUAUUUUAUUGACUUUUUGCUCAAUUUUUAUUAGGUGUGCAUCGGAAUAUUUAAUUUCAGAAUAAUAUAGCUUUUCUAUUUGAGUUAUUAUAUUUCCAGCUGCCUCAGUUGUUCCAUGCUUUAUUCCCCACUUACCUCCAUAGUCGUUAGAGUUUUCCCUCAAAGCUAUAGUUAUCCCUGCAAUUAUCAUAGCUAUCACUUUGAUGUCAAAUUAAACAUGAAAUUGACUUUGAUCUUGGUAAUUCUGUAAUAAUGGGAUAAUUAGGGAUAAGAAUAGUUACUGCCCUAAAUUUACGCUCAAACCAAAUUGUACCAUAGAUAUAAAGGCGAAUACAUGUAAAAAUGACCAAAAAAACAAGUUAAUAUUCAAAAUGCAAAAGAAAUGUGCGAUACAAAACAGUUGAACAUGGGACAAGAAUCUGCUUCUGGCUUCUAACAAAGCCAAAGGGAGAAAACUAACCUCACAGAUAUAUUGAGUCCACAAGUCCUUUGAAACCAGUACCUGGCUUUGAACAUCACCAAGUUCUUCACUACAUGCCAAAGAACUAGCAUUCUCGCACAAAAAAGUUCUAAGUAAAUCAACACAAUCGCCCACAAUUUUCGUAUGCCAUAUAUCUCCUGCCUCGCCUAGCAAAACAUACAUUUGAUGAAAGGCAAAAAAGCAAAAAAAAAAACUAAGUAAAUGAUAAUUAUGAGGUAACUAGGUUUGAUCAAGAGCCAAAAGAUAAGAAAGCAUACAAAAGAACGCUUUUGUUGCGUCAAUAUAAUUCAAGUCCCACCCAAAGUCUUUUUUCAACCGAUGAAGUCUUCGUCUCUAAACAUAACAAAAAGUAUAAAUUAAAGUCAUAAUAAAUAGUACAUGAUUUAAAGGAUGCAACGAAAAGCAGGUAUUAGAGGAGCAGAAAGUGUUUACUUGACGGCGGACAAGCUUGCGCGUGUUGGCUUUUAGCUUGCCAAUGGCUUCAUUUAACAAAUUCUUCAGUUUAUCAUCAUUGGAAUUCAAAACAUCAGAAACAGCAAGUUUAUGACGCAAAUCAGCAUCUUUGUUGGCAAAGUAACUUUGAAAGAAGUCGUUAAAUUCACGAAUGCCAAUAGCCUGAAACAGCCCUCGAGUAUAAACAGCAGAUGGAUUGUAAAUAGCACGCACUUCAUUCAACAGACCAGAAUCAAUCAUGCAAUCAACUCUUUGGUCAACAUAUCGAUCCAGUACAGGAAGGGAAGCAUCCAGCCAUAUAAAAAAACAAUUGUAUCUGAAAUUGCUCACUCGACCCCACUUCUGUCCUGCCAACGAAAGAAUCAGAUUUCUUUCAGAAAAGAGCAUCACUAUUUGCAUCACAUAUUACACAGCUUUUAGCACAAGCAUGAAAUGGAGGGAAUUAUGUACACAAUAGUAAGGGAAACCAUAAUAAGGCAAGUACACUGCACUGGAAAAGAGGAGGCAUAGCAGAUUUAGAAUGAUUAGAAAGACAUUUGGAUGGAGUCAAGUACAUGUGCUAAGUUGCUACAUGAUUUAAAUUAAAAAAAGGGAUAAUUGCCAAUAUACCCCUCAAAACUUCGAAAAUAUCUCAUUUACCCCAACUUUUUUUUUCUUUCCAAUAUACCACUCAUAUGUUCCUCCGUUAUUUCAAAAUAUCCCUGCAGUUACCAUCCGUUAAGUUAACUUGGGUUAAACGUAAGUUAAAUAUCUACCAAAGUUAAAAAAAAUCAAAAUGUUUUUUUUACCUUAACUUAAGGGCAAAUAAGAAAUGUUGGUGAUGGUAAAAGAGUAUAUUUGAAAAGAUCAAAAGUUAAAAUACUUUUUGUGCCCCUAACUUAAGGGCAAAUAAGAAAAGUUGGUGAUGGUAGAAGGGUAUAUUUGAAAGGGCAAAAUAGUAAUUUCCUAGAGAUAACAGCUAUUGUUAACAGAAUUUAACUCUAGGGGUAUAUUAGAAAUAAGUUAGAACUUAAUGGGGGUAUUUUCAAUAUUAGCCUUCUAAGAGGGGUAAAUCAGAAAGUCGAAAACUUUUUAGAGGUAUAUAAGCAAUUACCCCAAAAAAGAACGAGUAGCAAUGCAGUAAACAUAUAUAUUUCCAUACUAAAACAUGAAGCAGCUGCAAUAAAAUAAGGAUGUAAAAUUGAAGAAAUACAAAAGUACAGAAUCAUGUUUCAAAGUUAAAAUAAAAUGCACAAAACAUAAAAUCCACUUAAAGGAAAAGGCAAUGCAAGAAGCUACACAUGAUCCAGGUGAUACAAGCAUAAUAAAACUAAACCAAAUUACCAAGUUUCACAUAGAUUUUCAUAAAUAUUCUAUGCUAUUGCCAGAUUUCAUAUUUACUCAUACAUGCAGAUGUGAUGUUUCCCAAAAUUUCCACAUAAAGAAAUACUAUUUACCCCUUAAAUGGAACAUACUCAACUUUUCUCAAGUAUCAUCCGGCUAAUUAAUGCAAAGGGCAGCUGGGUUGUGUUAAAAAACUAGUCAAAUAGACUAAUGGCAUAUUUGCCCUUGAUUCAAAAGUUGCAAAACUUCAUGAAAGAUACACCUUAAAGUUGAAAUGUUGGGAACAUCAUAUAAAGCUGACAAGUCUCAUAUUUAUCACACACACCUUCACCAUCAACAAAAACCUAUGGGGUUGCUGAAGAAGAUGACUGACCAUGGUUGGCUUAGAAAGAAAUUUUUUGCCCCCUCUUACAAAAAGCAAACACUUGUGCUAUAAUUAUUGUACUCAAGAGAAUUACAUUUGAGGCGAAAAUUUGUAAUAUAUUGUAAUAGCAUAUGUAAUGAGGGCAAGCAUUAAUAGUUAACAAGGUUCUCCAAAUCAGUUUAGUACAACUGCCUCACCUCUGCAGCCUUUCCUCGGUAUAAGUUACUAGGGAGAGCACCCGAGCUAGCAUGUAAGCUGAGGUACCGAUUUAUCUGCAGCAUGCGUCAGAAAAUGUUAGCAAGGAAAAGGAAUAACACAAUGUUAGAGAAAAAUCCAACAAAGGAAGCUUCAUAUGCCCGAAAGAUAAAUACACAUAGACCUCAAAGAAGCUAAAUCUUACUGCUAAUUGAUGAUUCUAAAGAUAUAGAGAAGCAAAAUAAAUAAUAAUACAAGCUAGUAACCUCUCACAGAACAUCAAAAAGGAAUAAAAAAACGAAACCUCAACUUGGAAACUUUCACGUGCCUCGUGUGAGAAACUUAAAUGCCUGUAACUACGAGCAGAUAGGAGAAAAAAACACAAUAAAGUGCAUAGCUGGAAGAACAUAUUUUUUCUUCAUAAAAAGCAGGCACUAUGUGAUGUUCUGUCCCUUGUAUCCAUUUCACAUAUUUCACAAAUGACAUAGCAAAAAUCUGUGAACUCACUAAGAAUCUAAGAUUAACCUUUCUUAGGGGCAACCAAUAUGGAAACCAAGCUAUGAAAGGUGAAUUGAGGAAGGGAAAAAGAAAAACAUAAUGUCCUUACUUUUCUCUGGUCAUUUGGGUGGAUCCUGUUUGCAGCAACUGGAUCGAUCUCCUUAAGGCGCUCAUACCCUCCGCUCACAUCAAAAUCUUUAAGAUCUAAAUCAACAGAUGAAAGGCAUAAAAACUAAAGACUCAGAGAUAAACUUCACUAGAUGCAGGGCACGUAAAUGUCCUUCACUGAUUUCACCUGAUAGGUCAGCGACAGAGCACUCAUGCAAGUCUUCUAACACAUCAUCGACAAGGAAUGGACUCACAAGAGCCUAUCACAACCAAGAAACAAAAAAUUUAACUAAUCAAUCACUGAGCUAGAAUCCUACUACAACUUGAGUAUGCUAAGAAGAUUAUUUGAAAGGAACUCAACCUGGAUAUAGUAAUUUGUGCCACCAACAAUAACUGGAAGGCCAUUGCGUGAUAAUAUGUCAUCAAUGAUCUUUAACAACCACAAAAUAUUGAAUUCAAUUCAUAAGAUACAAUCAAAAUCCCCUUCUAGAAACAUGAAAUAAAAGAAGAAUAUUUAAGUAGAAUUAUACCGGAAUAGCAAGAUUACGGAAAUCUCUGGAAGUGAACUCCAUAGAAGCAUCAAUCAUGCCUAAAAGAUGAUGAGGAACACCUGGAAUCGAACAAAUAUUGUUAAGACUAUUGUUGAACUGUUUCCUAAUAGACUGAUUUUCUGGCGACAAUAGCAAAAUUGCAAAUGACGACCUGAACUUUAAAAAGUAAGAAAAAAGGGGUAAAAAAAAUCAUUAUGCGAACUUACAAUUCAUCCCAAUCAGCUACCUCACCCCAAUUUUAUUAUUUUUGUUAAAUAAUCAAUGACAAUAUAAAGAUACAAUAUUCAUCUAACCCAAAAUUAUUUAGAAAUUCAGAAGCCAAAGAAGUAAGCAUAAACAUUUAACGAUCAAAUAACUGCCAUAUGGAGAUGUACUAUAAGUCUAUAAUUAGUUACGGAAUGUCACAAGAAGUGAGGAAAUUGGGACGGGUGGUUGAUUGAAAACAUACUGUAAGUUCCUGCAACAUUUAUAACUUUUCAAAGUUUGGAUGGGCAUGAAUAAUUGUUAAUGUUUAGGGGGAGUAUAAGUGUAUAACAUAUUUUUCCACAGUUAUGUUGUAAGCGAUAAGACGAGUAGAUCAAACGAUCUCUCUAAAAGCUAAAACUAAUAAAGAAAGGAGUUUUUAUUAAUUUAUAUUCAACACUCACCCUUGAGAUUUUUUGAUACUGAUAGGCCCAAAACGUGUAAACUUAAAUUAACGGAGAGAAACUAAUACUUUGUUUUGACAGAGAGAUAUGACAGCCAAAAAACCAAAAAAAAGAAAAGGAAAACGAAAGAGAGGGAAAAAUAAAAAUAAAAAGAGAGUAAUUUUUUUGCUUAUUGUUUGGACUAAGGGAGGGGGAAAAAAUUACACUUCUUCUCCAUUUUUUAAGGGAAAAAAUUUAACUGUUAUGAAAGAUUAUCUUCUCCUAUUUCUCUCCAUUUUUUCUUUUUUUCGUCUGUAGUUUUGAUCCACUUGACAGAAUAUAAUUCUUUUUUUCUAACUUUCUUUACAUUUUCUCUCCAUUCAAACAGAGUGCAAAUGAAUUUAUAGCUUCAUUUGGAUUGUUGGAAAUAAUAUGGAUGAAGAAAAAAUGAGUGAAUAGAAAGAAGGAAAAAAGAGGGAGGGGAAGAAAAAAAGUAAUUUUCUUUUCUGUUGUUUGCAGUAAAGGAAGAAAAGAAAGAAAAUAACUUUCUCUUCCUUUCUCUCCACUUCUCUCCACUUUUGGAGAUAUACGUUCCUCCAUAUUUCUCUUCUUUUUCCUCGUCUAGUUUUGGUCCAAAACGACAGAAAUUUUUUUCUCCUAAUUUUCUUUUCUUCCCUCUCCUCUUCUCUCUCCAACCACACAAAGUGUAAGAGUCUGAUAAUAACAGAAUUCAAACUCAGAAUCUCAACAGAUUAUUCUAUAGGGCGUGAUUGGUUCAUGAGUCGAAUGGAAAUGAGAAAUAAAAUUGGAUUGCGUUGGAAUGAAAAAUGGAACUACGAACGAUCCAAAAAUAUUUAGUUCAUUAUUAGAAUGAAAAUCAGAAUAGAUAAUUAUGACACCUAAAAUUUAUUCCGAGAUAGAGUUUUAGUUAGAGGAGAGGCGAUUAAUGAAGUGAGAGGAGGGGAGGCGUUGGUGAGAGAGAAUUUUGAGGAUCUGGAGUCAUCUCUAUUCUAUUCCAGAGUGGAAUGAAAAUCGAAAUCCCAUCCCUAUAAAACAAACACCGACUAUCAGUAUAGAAUCCACAGCUGAAUCAGUGGACGUCGGUCUUAAGUUUUAAUUUCAGAGUCUAAAAUAAGCGAACCAAGCAAGCAAGCCCUAAAUGUUAAGAUAGCAGACAAGAAGAGGAGACCGUUGCGAUCGGAGGGAGGAGGCUUGUUGGUGACGACGUCGAGGCCGUGGUAGACCUGCAUGGAGUCGGCGUUGACGACCUCCACACCAGGGAAGACGGAGGCCAGGUCGAUCGCCAGCCGGGACUUCCCGGCGCCCGUCGCCCCCAUCACCACCACCACAGCCCCCUUCUUCUUCUGCUGCUUCUGCUUCCUCCUCUUCUCCUGCGCUGCCGAUUCGCCGCCGUCGAAGGCGAUCGUCGUCUUCUCUUCCCCCAUGGGGUCUUGGCUGCACCGUAGGAUAGUUUCGCCGCGGAACGGCUGGACGAGUCUGGGUACGCUCUACAAAAUAAAUAAAUAAAAAUAAUGGGCUAAUUGCAUACAGGUCCCGCAAACAUAUUGAUUUAUAAAUAUUUCCCUGUAAAAUUUACCUUUCAUGAGUUACUAGGGAAAGACCCGCGAUGCUGCGAAUAUAAAAAUAUUUUAAUAAUAAAUUUUGAUUUAUAUUUAUAUAUAUUUUAUAUAGUUUUAUAAGUCUAAUUAUUGAUUAAGUAAAAGUUAUAUUAAAAAUAAUUUAAUAAUUAAAUAUGUUUAAAGAAAAAUAAUUAAAACUGGUAUAUGUGCAACAUAAAUUUAUAUAACAGUUUAUUAAUAAUUAAAUUAUUUUGUAAAGAUUUAUGUGAAAAAGAUUUGAGAUAAAUCUAUUCAAAUAAUUUAAAUAAAUCAGUAAAUAAAAGAAAAAUAAUAGUAGAAGAAAUUGUUUAUAAAACUAUAUUUAUAUAUAUACAGAGAAACACACACUAUGUUUAUAAAUUGUUAUUCCAGAAAUUUAAAUUUUGUAUUUUUUCAUAUGUCGACAUUUUUCAUGAUUUAGAUUGUAUCUACCAGAAUGGAUUUUAUUACGCAAUUUAUUAUGCGUAUUAUUAAUACAAUUAAUUAAUUAUAUAGGGUUUAAGCGUUUAAACUUUGAAGUUUGAAAUUUAGAAAUAAAUAUUAUAAAAUUUAAAAUCUGGAGCUUAAAAUUUGAAAUUAUAAAUUUUAAAAUUUUAAUAUCUAAAAUUUUAAAUUUAAAAUUUAGAACUAAAAAUUAUAUAUAUAUAUAUAUACAUAUAUAUAUAUAUGUAUAUAUAUAUAUGUGUGUGUGUGUGUGUGUGUAGAAGGAGAGAGAAAUGGAGGGUUGGGGGGACACGUGUCACUCUUAAGUCCCCUCAAACCCUCCUUUAAUGUAGUUAGAUAGAUUCCUAUAAAAGUACUAAUAUUUUUAUAUAUGUCCCUAUGAUUUGUUACAGUUGGAGAACCGUUAGAAAAAUAUUUAUAUUUUCAAUUUUGCCAUUACAAAUAUAUUCCUCUAAAAAUUAUAACAGUAUAAUAUAAGAGGGGUAAAAAUAUCAAAAAUUAAUCCAGGUAAAUUAUUUAACGUAUGGUUAACUAAACUUUUCUAACGGAUUCUAACGGCAGAGAUAUAUCUGAAAAUAUUAGGACUUUUGCAGGGAUAAUUUUCACGCCCCGCGACCGCCAAUUUGGUCGGUCCGGGCACGUACACAGAUGCCGAACAGACAGAGUCUCCCCUGUCCGCCCAAGGCUCUACAACAACAACAAACAUGUAUAAAGAAUUCGCCCAGAAAGAAUUUUGAUAUGCAUGGCUUGCACGAGGGUAAACAACAGGAGCAAGUAAAAUUAAACUAGCUAUUACAUCCAUAUAUUGUAUCUUGAUUAUAUUUAACAAAAUACAAAGCUUACAUUAAUCCUCCAUUACACAUGCUCUUUACGUCCAAUUCCAGGUAGUACAUAAUACAUCAUUCCUUACAUACCCUUUUUCAUCAAAUACAAAAGAUGAAACCAAAAAGGGCACAACUAAGCUCGAUGGAAAUCCACUACCUAGGGCGCGAUGCCAUUGCCGUGAUUCUCGACCACCUCGCUCGCGCUAGGAUCUGUAAGGUUAGUGGUGUGAGAACUAAUGAAAGUUCCCAGUGGGUUCGGCUGCCGACCCCGCCGACUCACGCACUAGGUCUAGUCAAGCAUAUAUAUGAAAAAGGAAUAGAUAGUAAACCAUACUAAAGCUACUACAAUGCCUAUUUAAUAACUGAAGUAAUAAGUAAUAUGCUCAUGAUGCAUGCAUUGCACUUUUACUGUCACGCCCCGCUACCACCAAUUUGGUCGGUUCGGGUACGUCCACAGACGCCGAACGGACAGAACCUCCCUUGUCCACCCAAAGCUCCACCCAACAUGUAUAGCAAUGUAAUACACUGGAUCUUAGCAAAUUGCAAGAUUCGAGUGUUUGAUCUGUGUGUGGGGCCUUUCCACAGUUUUUAGAGGGUCGUUGAUAGUGUUCCGACCCCUGGCACGCACCCCGAGGAUGUUGGUUUGAAGCUUGGUACCAAAAUCCAAAAAUUGGAUNAUGAUAGUUGGAGACUUUUACUUCAUGCAUAGUUGCUUUCAUACUUAUGCUAUUUAUGCUAAGUAGAGAUAUCAUGUCGUAAUAAGUUACAUUUUUUUUGCUUACCUAUCUACUUUUAUAGGCACUGACAUCUUUUGUAGCUUUGGGCCUUGUGGUGCAUUCACUGAAGUCAGUAAUUGCCCACUGGGAACUAUUUUUAAUAGUUCUCACGCCCUUGUUUUAUGGUUUACUUUUCAGAGCCUUCGGCACCGGCGGAGGCACGGGAUCGCGGCAAGGGAUCGCUUAACUAGCUAGCGAGGAGCGGUACUUUGCCUAGGUGGUUUACUCUUUCUUUUUGUAGUAGUGAGAGAGAGAUUUCUGUAUCCGUGUAUAGAGACCACCUAUGUACCUACUUUUAGCACUUGUACUUGGAGAUUCCUAUUGUAUUUACUUUAUGUUUUACUUAGUGGAUUUACAAUUUUAUCCUUAUUCCUUGCUGUAGCAUUUAGACAUUUAUUAUGCUCUGAUACUCCUAGAUGUCUUUUAUUAUUGCUUUACUUAUUGUUGUUUUUAGAUGCCUUAUGCGUUUUAGACGUAUGGCGGGUCUGGGCACGUGCCGGGCGGGCUUCCGCUGGGUCCCGGGGGGUGACAAGCAAGCCAUACAAAGAGAAUGCAACUAUAGAUGGCUUGCACGAGAGCAAGCAACAACAAGUAAGGGAAAGCACUAAUGCUACUCCAUACAUCCAUAUAUGUCAUUUGAUUAUAUUUAACCAAAUAUAAGUCAACCACAUAUUACAUUCUUUUCUUUUAAUAUACAUCACAUGAUCCAUCCACCAAAACAUAUGAAUUUACAACAUUUACAUCACCAUUCAUCAUAUACAAAAGAUGAUAAGAUACAUGGUAUGACUAUACUCGGGUAGCCGCUAUCUAGGGUGCGAUGCCCUUGCCGCGAUCCUCGACCGCCCCGCUCGCGCUAGGAUCUGCAAGGUUAGUGGUGUGAGAACUAAAGAAAGUUCCUAGUGGGUUCGGCCGCCGACCCCGCCGACUCACCCACUAGGUCUACUCAGGUAUAUGUAGGAAAAGAAGAGAUAGAUAGAAAACCAUACUAAUGCUACUUUAAUACCUGCAAAGAAAACUGACUCAACGAGUAAUAUGCUCAUAAUGAUAUAUGCAUGUCUUUCACAUUUACCUUGGCUUUUACCCAAUCGUCUCGGUUAACUCAUGGUUAACCCCAAAACUCACAAUCAAAUCCCUUUCUUUUGGGGAGAAUAUCGCUACAACCCGAUUGGACCGUCUGCUAGGGAGAAUAUCGCUACACCCAGUGGUGACAACUCCGGAGCACACUGCUUGAGGUGGAGCUACCGCCCUCAAGCCUAGACCGAAUGUGAGUAUAAUCCAAUCCUCAAUUUGAGGAUGCAUAGCCAUUCAUGCCAUUCUUGCCACUUGCCACAAUGCUCUUAAGGUUUUACCUUGUCUAGCAUACCAUAUCCUUGGUGUCAAUCAUGCCGCUAAUAUCAAUAUCACAUUUGUUUACUAAUGUCAUAGUCCACGUUCAUUUCACACAUUCAUAGGGUUCUAUAUGUAUGGUCCAAUUUCAAUUCAUACGUUCUCUUAUCUAGAAGCAUACAAGAGGUUCCCAACCAUAACUACAUGUCACAUAACCCUAAAUGCAUGAAUACCACAAUACACAUAUAUGCUCAAAAAGGCAACAUAGACAUAAUGAGAAAUUCGAUGAUUUCGAAUAGCACCACCCACCUCGUAGGGAUGCCCGUAAGCCUACAAUUCACGUCUCGCGAUUUAUGGUCGCUGAUUUUCCGCGACCCUCGGCAAACGAAGCCGAAAUGAGAUUUUUCUCCACUAACUCAACGUAGACCCGUCGAAAUUUCAAUCCGAGUCUCCCAACGCGUCAGAUUAUCCACAAAUUAGGGCUACAAGAGAUCAAACCCUAGUUAGAUCUCAAAGUUUACAAAACCCUAAUAUUAACCCUAGGAUUUCUAUCUUUACCAAAUACCCCCAAAUCUCAUGAAGAUUCAUGGACAAACCUACCAUAAUAGCUUCUAGAAACAAUAGUUAGAAGAAAACACAACUAAACCCUAGCUCAAAGCCACCAAAACUCACCUUGAGUUCUAAGCUUUCUCCUCAACCCUUGCACAAUUGCUAGCUUCACCCGAAAUUAGUCUUCUUCUCCACCAAGCCCCUCUCUUGGAGCAAACCCUAGUGAGAGAAUGAAAAAAAGGGAGAGAGAGAGUAAAGAGUUUUAGAGAGAGAAAGAGAUUUCUCUUUUGAUGUUGGUGUGAGGGAAAUGAGAGCUAAACCAUCAAGCCCCCACUUAUAAACACUCACACACAUACACAAUAGCACAUAGCCCCCUCACACAACAGAGGCCAACCAUCCCUGGCAUUUUCGUGUUCGGGGUCCGGACCUUACACUUAGGGUCUAGACCCCGAGAGCAUUUUCAGCACAUUUCGACUUGAAAUUUCCUAACUUGCUCUCCCAUGUCCAAAUGCCCAUUUUAUGCACUCCGAAACAUUCGGAAUGGCUAACGGACCAUUCUAACACAUCCACCACCACACUUCGGUCAAUUUGAUAGAAGUUCGGUAUAACUCGUCCGGGAUCCAAUAUGUUACAUUUACCUUUACCUUUACCCAAUCCUGUUGGUUAACCUUUUGGUUAAGACGAACUCACCAAACCAAAUCCCUUUUUGUCAGGAAGAAUACCGCUAUAACCCGACGGGAUCGUAUGCUAGGGAGAAUUCCGCUAUCGCCCAAUUGAUGACAACUCCGGAGCUCACCGCUUGAGGUAGAGCGACCACCCUCAAGCAUAUCAGACUACCUGUGAGUAUAAUCCAAUCCCCAACUUUGAGGAUACCAUGUCACUAUUGCCACAAUGUUCAUAUGGUUUUCUUUGUCUAGCUUUCCAUGAUUCUUGGUGCUAUUCAAUUCAUCUAGCCAUAAUGUCACCUUGUUUACUAUUGUCAUAGUCCAAUACUUUGUUCGUACAUUGAUAGGAUUUCUAUAUAUAUAUAUUUCCGAAGCCUUUGUCAUUUCAAAUGUACUUUUACAUUGAAAGCAUAAAAGAGAUCCACAUAUCACUUUAACCCUACAAUGCAUGAAGACAACACUAUACACAAACAAACAUACUCAAAGAGGUGACAUAGACAUAAUGAGGAAUUCGAAAAUUUCGAAUAGCACCACCCACCUCGUAGGGAUGCCAGUGUAAGGGAAUGAAUCCUCGCCGCGUAAGUCCGAACUUCGGUCGAAAUUGACCAAAGGUCACUUCGGAAUGCUUCGGAAAAGCCGAAAGCGCCAAAAAUGGCAUUUGUGGGUUGUAGAGGACCUUGGAGGGCAUGUGUGAGCAAAUAUGCAAAAAUGCAGAUUUUGUGUGCUCUCGGGGAGGGUCCGGACCCCGUAGCUGCGAACAGCCCAGUGUAGGCUGUGCACUAAUUGCAUUGUUUGAGGGGUUUUUAUGCAAUUGGUGCUAGUAGGAUUAAAAAGGGAGGUGUAGAGAGCUCAUUUACUCCUCUCUCUCACACUUGCUACCCUAAAUUAGAACCUCUCUUUCUCUCUCUCUAAGCUCUCUCUUUCUCUCUCAUCAAGGUAGGAAUCAAGAGGAAGGGUUGGUGGAGAAGGAAGCUUGAAGGUGGAACUUCAUCUUCUUCAUCUUCUUCCUCACAUUGGGAGAAAGCUUUUGAGGUAAACUUUUGAAGCUUUAAUGGUGGAUUUCUAGGGUUUGGUUUUUAUACUCUAGAAUUAGUUUAGUGGAACCCUUAGGUGCUAAAUAGAUGCUAUAUGCUUGAAUCAAGAGGUUCUAUGAUGUAUUCUUGCAAUAGUAGCAAUCUAGGGUUCCGGUUGGGGUUUUGCGAAAUGUUAGGGUUUGGUCUAAAUUAACCCUAUAUAACCCUAAUUGCUAGGUAAUAUGACGCGUUGGUGAACUCGGUUCGGUGAUCCGUCGAGUCCGCGCAGAGAUAUCGAGGAAAAGUACCGUUUCGGCUUUGUUUCCGCCUGGAGGGCCGAGGCGACGUCCAAAAAUCGCGAAACUUGGAAUCUAGAGUCGCGGCAUCACCAGAAGGUGGGGGGUGCCACCCGAAGCAGUUGAACUCCCUUCUAUGUCCAAGUUACAUUGUUGAUCAUAUAUUCACAUGUUGACAUUAUGCUUUAUAGGGUGAUUUGGAUAGUUUCAUUUUUAUUCUUUGCAUGCCUCCUUGGUAGUGUAGCAUUGUGAGCUUGACACAUGAACUUAGGAUGCAUGAGGAUAAAGUUUUGUGACAUAGAAUCCUAUAGUAAUAAAGUUAAGCGAUGAACUUGAUCUUGUGAUGAUGAAAACAAGUGACGUGAACUAAUGUAGUAGAGGCACUAUAACAUGAACGAGUGGCAUGUAAACUAGUUGAUACAACAAAAUGAUUUGAAUGAGUGGCAUUGAACCUUGUGUCACGCCCCGGGACCCAGCGAAAGCCCGCUCGGCGCGUGCACAGACCCACCGUGUACAUCAAACAACCAUAAUGCACACAAGGCGUCUACCAAAAACUAGAAAUGAACAAGAUAAUUUCCUAACAAGGCUAUCAGAGCGAGUAAUAUAAAAUCACUAUUGUUCUAGCAUAAAGAGAUCCACAAUAAAACAAAAGACUACAAGUAGAUCCAAAAGUCUAAUGUAAUCUCUAAACCAAAAUACAUAAUACAUCUUUCCACAAAGUACAAAAACAAAGAUGAUGUCGGGUCCCUCUAAAAUAACUCCGUAGGGCUCUAACUAGUCGCUAACCCCUUGCCACGAUCCUUAGCCACUCUCGAUACGGAUGGCUCUGAAACAAACAACAAAACAGAGGGCGUGAGAACUAUUGAAAAUAGUUCCCAGUGGGUAAGUCACCGAUCUUAGCGAAAUAGAUAUAUUUUAUAUCAAAUAAAUCUAUUUUGAGGUCCAAUACAACCUAAUUCUAACCGAAUUAACCCUAACCCUAACCAAACCCGCUCCACCCCACUGCACCCCUACCCAGCGAACGCCUCAGCCUCGCGAGGACCCCUUCUCUCCUCACGAUCCCUCCCCUCUUCCCCCUUUGAGCUCGAGCUCUCCCUCUCUCCUUUACCUCUACUCAUUUCCCUCUCCCUCUUCCUUAGAAUCUCCUCCAAGCUUUGAUCCCAUUCCAGAAUCGCCCUCGCUUUUGCCCUCAAUCUUCUCCACGAGCGGGUGCUUUGAGGAGAUCAGCCGCCGCCGGUGUCGCCCUCGGCCUCCUCCUCCACGAGCGUGGCGGCGCUCCGACGACCUCCCUCCGCCGCCACACACCAACGACGAGGUCGGUGCUCCGCUCGGCUCCAAGGGCUGGGCCGACGAGCCCGGGUUUCGCCAGUGGAAGGAUAAAGAGGCCGAGAUCCUCAUCGACAUCGAGCCCAUCAUCGCCCUCACCAAGGAUAUACUCCACUCCAAGGAAGCGGAACAGUGCUCUCUGGGAUCUUGCCAUGGAUCGAUCGAUGGGAGCUCGGGGGUCGGUGAUCUUGUUAGGGCUCGUGAUCACAGGUAACGUGUCGAUCUCGCGAUCAUCGAUCUGCAUGAUUCGCUUUCAUUUUUUGAAUAUCUUGUACUGGAUCUGAUUUGGUUGUAGGAUGCGUUUGUGAACCCUAGAUCGGCAAUGGCACCCCAUUGAUCUAUAGAUGUGAUGCUUAUUCCUCUAGUUUUCUGUUUUGUUUCUAGAUAUAAAACCCUAAUCGGUGGAGAUUGCAUGUGAAUCAUUAUCUAGUUUUGAAUCGACGAUGCCAAACAUUAAAUUGCAAUUCCCGUAACAUCAUAUUAUCAAAAUUAACUUAAGCUCUUCCGAAGAACUUUUGACGGCGAUGUAGCUCCUGUCAAGGUUCACCUUCAUGCUUCAGCAUGCAACAGGAAUUUAUAUGUUUAGUAUGCUUUACUUUAAAAUUGAUAUAUUGGCCUCUUCUUAGGAUUACGAUAGAGAGUUUCUGGUUAAAUUGAGUCAUGUCGCUGCGUGCGCGGAAAUAUGGAUCAGAUACAUUGGAGAAGGAAUGUGGAUAUCAUGACAUAUACUUUGAUCGAUUAGACAAAUAUUAAAAACCAGAAGAAUAAAGUGUUUAGUAUGAAUGUAAAAAUUGUAUGAACGGAAAAAAAUUGAACAAAUUUUAUAGGCAUAACUACAUCAUGGAUAUGUGAAGAACCUACUUGGAUAUUGUAAAAACUAACUUGUGUGGUAUGGGUGUUUCUUUUAUGAUUGCAAGCACAGAGCUUGAUCUUAUUCUAUUCUGCAUGUGAUGUGAUUUAUCAUGUGCCUAAAUUGGUGCUAAACAACAUCCCUGAUUUCGUAGAAUCUCAUUUAAUUAUGAUGAUGACAUUAAAUCAAAUAUUAGGGAAUUGGAAAUCUGUUGUGAAAUAGUGAAGUGUCAACCUUUAUCUUGCGAAGACAUUCUCUAGAUCUACCUAGAAUGUUGAUAUGCACAGAGUCGAUUUAACUUGCUCAUGAGUUGAGGUAUCCAUGAGUUAUAGACUCAUAGUUAAUUGAACUAGUUCUAAAUUGAUCUAGAAGGUUAGAAGAUGAGUGCAAAAUUGACAGUUGCUUUUAAGAUGUAGAUAUUUAAAACUACAAGAGCAAAAGUAGUAAAAAUUAGAAAAGGCAUAUGAAGAUUGAAUUUAGAGAUUAGAAAAGAGAAACUAAAUUUCAAGUUAAUGGUACCUUAUUCAUUACCUUGGAGGACCCUACCAAAUGACGUCUACUUUAGUGCCAAAAUGUUGUAAUUCAUAUGGGUUUCUCAUCGUGCCUUCAAUGUGCAUAAGACCUUUCCUAAUAGUACGGGAUGAGACAAAACCUUUAGUCAACUUGAUUAUCUAGUAUUGCACAAUUUUUUUAAAAUUUUUUUCCAAAAGUUCCGACACUCUGCUCUUUACAACGCAUCUACUGCACUCAUUUCUUUUUCUGUCCAUAUGGAAUACUUUCAGGCAUGGAUCGAGUAAACUUGAACAAGUGGGCUUUGCUUCUUUGACAGUUUGGAAUAUGAAAACAUGGAAAGCUAUGGUAUAUACGAUAUCUUGGAUAUUUUUUUGACAAUUGUGCAUGAUUUAGGCAAAUAGAGCACUUAUAUUGUUUUUAUAUUUUAUUUUGUGAAGACAGUCCUUCCGCUUGGUGAGGAUCCUUCAGCAAUCACCUCACUAUCAUUCAAUCAUAACGGAAAAAUCUUAGCAGCCUCUGCUACUGAUGGAAUGAUUCAUAUGUUUGGUAUCCUUGAAUGCUAGCUAAUUAUACUCAUCAAGAAUACGUUCAAGGAGUUAUACAUGACUGUUAUCUUUUUGUUUCUGCGGAAUUGUUCUAAAGCAUUUCUCUUCAUGCCAAUGGAGUGAUUGGAUGCUUUGCAUUUAGUUUUGUAACCAUGAAUUUUCUACAACAUUCAUGUCAAGAUAUAUGUUGCUUUGUGAAAGUACAUUUAAGAGCUUAAGCUAGGAGUUCUCAUGGAUUGUAAGGUUCCUUAACUAUCCAAAGACAUGUCUGCUAGCCUGCAAAUAACAGGAUGGCCUGCCCAUGAUUCAGUAGUAAGUUAAGUUCUAUUUGGACCUGAUGAGACCAGCAUUUUCAGUUUAGGCUCCGAUGGGAAGGCAAGUAAAUUUCAGUUUCCUGAUUUAAUAUGCAAUCUCUUAUGGUGCUUGUUCCCAGAAGAAUCUCAUGGUUCAGAACAAACCUUAAUCAUUAUGGUAUUUCUUCACAAAUUUGCACCUUGGUGUAUAUCUUUUGAAAUCACUGCAUACAAUUAUCUCCUCUUCAUCUAUCAAAACUUUCAUCGGUUCUUUCCUCUAAUGUUGAGUUUGCAUUGUAUAAAUGGAGUAUUAGACUAAGUUGAUUUAUACUGCACUAACUUCAAAAGGCACUUUGCUUUUCAACAUAUCUUGUAUAAUAAAAAGAAGCAUUGGUGCUUCAAGCUUGAUAACUUAGUAGCUGGAACGAAUGUAAUUUUCUCGCCUAAACUGAAAUAGAACACUAAGUUGCAUCUUGCAUUCUUGCAUCGCACCCAUUAUCUUAGUUACUCUUUACACGCUUCAUUAAGACUAAAGUUCCUUCCAUGUUCUUGUGCCCUAAUUGGAGAAGUGAGAACCUAAGCUACAAGCAUCUAUUCUUUCACUUUAAAUAUUAUUGUCUAAAAGUACCUUCUCAUCAUGUAAUAAAGCAUUGUAGAAUUGCGAGUAUUUUAUACAAUCUAUAAUUCUAUAUAUUGUAUUCCCCGAACUUAGCUAUUGAUGGGAUGUUUAUUUUCUUAGCUCAUAAGAAAUGCUUCAUAGAAAUCCUUUGUGUAAAUAUAGAAUUGGUAUGAAUGUCAAAUUAAAUGCCUUUUAAGAGUUAGUCUUUUUUUCCUACUAUAUCAUUUACUAGUUAAUGCAUUUGUGAGGAAAGCUUUGAGGCCAUCACUUGCUGGGUUGUGUAAACAGCCUUUCCUGUAAAGGGAUUAGGCUUUCUAUAGCACACUUCUACACUUACAUUAAUGGUUGAUUUGCUUCUAAACUCCCUAGUUGUCUUAUUUUACUCUUUUUGCUAUUAUUGGUUAAGCAGAGAACAGGCUUUCAGUUUUAUGUGAAAAGGAGCGUUGAGCAGAAAGACCUACUUGCACCUCUUCCAUAUCUCCCCGCAGUUCAACCUGACAAUGUAAACCAAGUAUCUCAUUCAAAUGGGUCUGCUGCUGCAACACCCUUAACCAUUUCCCCUGCAAAAUCUUCACCAGGAGGCAUUUAGAGAAUCCUUGAUACAACUUCAGAUGAAGGGUUGGUAAUUCUUCCAUCACCAAAGGUAUGUAUCAUGCUUUCUCCUUUUCAUGCUUUCUCAUUUUCUUCUUGUUGGUACUUGUUAAUGCAUCUUUAUAUUGAUGUCAUAUUCCAGGUUGGUUAUUGUUGGCAUUCGGUUAAAUCGAAUCGGGUACGCCCAUAAGCGGGUUCGAUCCGACGGAUAUUAUGUUAUCUAAUUGGAUUGGAAUUAAUCUCGCUUUCAAAUUGGAAAGCUAAUUAGAGAUAAAUCCUAAUCAUAUUAGGAUAAUAAUUAAUAACUGAUUUGGCCUUAUCUCUUACGCUAUUAGGAUUUUGAAAUUUCAUAUAAAUAUACGGGCGAUCCCACAUAAAACGAUGAACGAACGUAAAAAGAGAGAGAAUAAGAAAACAAUAGAGAGAAACCACAUCCUCCAUUAACCUAUUAUUCUAGAGGGACUUGCACGGUGGAUUUGCGAUCGUGCUCGUUUGUAGUUCGAUCCACUGCGGGUUCGGAGCUUUAGAAGAUCUUCAAGGACGAUCCAAGGACACGUGAAUCAACAUCUAUGAUCUGGGUUCAUCGCAUUGUAACGCGAAUCGCUUCCGCAAAAAGGUACGAACGAAUACUUCCGCUUCAUUCUACAUUGGUAUCAGAGCCUUUUUUGGUUAAUUUCGUGGUCUUGAUACAUCCUUUAACGAGAUUACAUGCGAUAUAUUAAAUCUAUCAUGUUUUAGAUUUUUUCUUACAUGUAUGUCAGCGUUAAUGGCGGUUUUUUCAUAAGUAGAUAUCUUUGCAUGAUUUUUACACAUCUUGAAGCACCAAAAUUGUAGAUUUUAUCUACAAAGUUUGAUUUGAUAUGGUUUUGUAUUUUAUGAGAAAAACGAAACACUAUAUCGAAUUUUUUUGGGGGUGGCUUGUUUGAUGUGUGAUGUAUAUCCCAUUGUUAAACUUGCAUGAUUUGGAAGAGCUCAUCACAAGCUUUCUAUCGACAUAUUUCUUGCAUAAAUCAGAUUUCUAAAUCUCAUGUUAUGAUUUUUUAAAGAUUAGCUAUCUUUAAAAUAAAAAAAAUUGAAAAAUACUGUUCCGGGUGCGUGGGCGCACACGCGGACAGCACGCAGGCCGCCGGCCGCGCUGGCCACGCGGGUCGUACGCAGCCCUGAUGUUGGGCGAGGCCAAUCCUUUAUCGCCUCUACUUUCUUCGGGUCUACUGACACUCCGUCGCCCGACACCACAUGGCCCAAAAAUGUGACCUCCUUUAGCCAAAAGUCACAUUUCUUUAACUUCGCAUAAAGCUUCUCUUGUCUGAGUAUCUGCAACACUGCUCUCAGAUGCUCUUCAUGCUCCUCUUCACUCUUUGAGUAAACCAACACGUCGUCUAUAAACACCACAACGCAUCGAUCCAACAACGGCCUAAAGACUCGAUUCAUCAAGUCCAUAAAUGCUGAAGGGGCAUUAGUAAGCCCAAACGGCAUCACCGUGAACUCAUAAUGGCCAUACCGCGUACGGUACGCCGUUUUGUGUACAUCCUUUGGCCUGAUCUUUAAUUGAUGAUACCCCGAUUGGAGAUCAAUCUUCGAAUACACCUUAGACCCUUGCAACUGAUCGAAUAGAUCGUCAAUCCUUGGCAACGGGUACUUGUUCUUUAUCGUUACUUUGUUCAACUCGCGAUAAUCUACGCAGAGUCGAAGUGUGCCAUCCUUUUUCUUCACAAACAGCACCGGAGCUCCCCACGGUGACACACUCAGUCUCACAAAGCCUUUAUCAAGCAAGUCUUGCAAUUGGCCUUUCAACUCCUUUAGCUCCACCGGUGCCAUUCUAUACGGAGCCUUCGAAACUGGUUCCGCCCCGGGAAUCAAGUCAAUUACGAACUCAACUUCCCGGUCCGGUGGCAAUCCCGGUAACUCCGCCGGAAACACGUCCGGAAACUCACACGCAACCCGGAUACUUCCAAGGUCUGGGUGCUCCCUACGGCCAUCAACCAUAGUUGCCAAAUAGGCCUUACAUCCACCCUUGAUCAUCCUCUUGGCCCUCACUGACGAUAUGGUCGCCGCAAAGCGCGCACCCUUGCACGCCCGGUACACAAAUUCUUCUUGGUUAGGUUCACGGAAAGUGAUAACCUUACUUUCGCAAUCGGUACACUUCGGAAAGUCCGAAGGUGUUAAAAUGAUUAAAGGUGAGUUACGGGAGGUUUUCGAGAGCUUGAGAAUUAAAUUCUGCAAAACUGCAGAUUUUGAGCUCUCGGGGACCGGUCCCUGGUGGGAGAGACCGGUCCCCGAACGCGUGCAGAAUGAGACAGCCGAAAAAUCGGCUAAGUCCUGAGAAACCAGCUCUCGGAGACCGGUCCCUCCCCGAGAGACCGGUCCCCGAGAGACCGGUCCCCCAAUGAGAGACCGGAUGCAUUGCGCGCAGCAGCUCUGGCUGCGCUGGGAGAGCUCUCGGAGACCGGUCCCUAGUCGGGGAGACCGGUCCCCGAGCCCGAAAUUUGCCCAGUCCAGGCAGUUGAAUAAAGUAAAAGUUGAGGGAUUUAUUAGCAAUUUUGCAACCCAAGGGUUAAGUGGGGCUGAGAGAGAGCCUUCCUCUCUCAUUCCCUCACCCUCUCACACUCUCUUCUCUCUCUCUCUUUCUCUAGAAGACAAAGAAGAAGAAGGAGAAGAAGAAGAAAGGAAGAAAAGAAGGAAAGGAAGGAAAAGAAGGUGAAGAAGAAGCUUUUGGAGCAAAGAGGCUUCAUCUCCUUCUUCUCUAGUGCAAGAAAAGGAAGCUUACAAGGUAAGCUUUGAACCCUAAUGUAGUAAAACCCUAGAAAGGGGUUUGAAUGAACCUAGAAAUGGUUUUAAUGGAUUGUUUGGAGUUUUUGAAGCUUUCUUUUUGCUUCUUUAGAGAUCAAAACCUAGGUUUACUAUAGAGGUGAGCUUGGACCACCUCUCAUGGUGAAAUCCAAACUAGGGUUUUGGAAAGCCUAAGAAUGGUUCUAAUGGACUAUUUAGAGUAUAAUGAAGCUACUUUUGCUUCCCAAUGAGAUCAAACCCUAGGUUUUGUAUAUGCAAUGGAGCUAGGGCACCAAAUUGGGGUUUUUGCUCAUGAGGGUUUCUAAGUGCAAUUGACCCUCCAAAAACCUAAUUGGGGGUAUUUCCGACGCGUUGGUGCGCUCGGAUUAACGUUACGAAAAGUCAAAGUAAAGUUAAGAGCAAAAUGGCCUAAUAAGGGUUCGUUUUGCCGCAGGUAAAGAGCGAAGCAUCUAAAAAUCCCAAGAAAAUCAUCGGAGCACCUUUGAAAGCCUACGAGGUGGGUGGUGCUUCUCAAACUCAUUGAACUUCUCUCUAUGCCUAAUGUGUCAUUCAUUUGAGCAUAUGUUACAUACUUGUUGCAUGCAUUUUAGGGUAAAGUAUGAUGAAAAUGUAAUGAUGCAUGAUUGUGAGUACAACUUGCAUAAUAUGAUGAAUGAGAACUAUGUGAUGUCAAAACCCUAAGUGUAUGCAUGAGAGAAAUGUGAGCACCCAAAGUGAGCAAAAGAACAGAGUGGCACAAUGACAUAGAUCGAGUGGCAUCCGAUAAAGCUAAUGUGAAAUGACACUAGAGUUAGUGUGAUGUAAAGAACUAAAGUGAUAUAAAGAACUACAGUGACGUAAAGAAUGAUGAAAAUGACAAUGUAUAAAGUUAAAGUAAAGUAGGGCAAUAAGAACAAGAAUACUAGAGUUAGCAAGGGUAAAGGAAAUGUAAAGAAUAUGAUUGCAUGAGUUUGCAACGAAAAAUGAUGUAAAGAACACUAGAGCUAGUGUAAAGUCAUGAUUGAACUUAUAAAUCCUUUGAGUUAAGGAUAUGAUCAUGCUUGCUAUGAGUUCCGUGCUCGAGGGCGGUCGCUCCCCCUCGGGCGAUGCGCUCCGGAGUUAUGCAUCCGGGUUGGAGUAGACCCGUAAGGACGGUCCUAGCUGGUGAGUACCUGCGAUGAUGGACUUAACGUGAGGCAAGUUAAUGUGGCGAAACCCCCGGGUUAGCCUUAAUGAUUAAAGAGCAAAGAACAAAGAAUAAAGAACAAAGAGUAAAGUGAAAAGAACUAAAGAACAUGCAUAAUCUGCAUCUAUUAAUGUUGAGCAUAUUCCUUGCUUUUGUUCAGGCAUAUUAGCAUCAUGUUAUAGAUUGGUUAUUAUAUUCAGCUUAUCCUUUCUAUUAUGCCUGAGUUAGUCCUAGUGGGAAAGUCGGUGAUGUUGAGGCCGAACCCACUGGGAACUUUGUUGUAGUUCUCACCCCACUAUUUCCACAGAGCCGGGACCGAGCGAGCCGGCGAGCGACCGCGGUAAAGGUAUCGCACCGUAGUCAGAGGCCACCGGAGUUGGGUCACAUUUUGUUAGUAGAUACCCUUUUAUCAUCUUUUGUAUUUGAUGAUUUAAGAUUUUAAUGUAUAAAGUAAAGAAAGGAAUGUAAGCUUAUUUUGAGGUAAAUGUGAUGUAAGAAAGAAAUGAUGAAGUGAUGUAAUGAAAUGAAAAGGAAACCAAAGUGUAAGACAUGAAUGCAAUGUAUAUGAUCUAAAAUGAAUCAUGUUACUUGUGUAGAUGUUUAGUUUCCUUUCUUUCACUAAUGGCUAUUGCUUACCUUCGUGUAAGCCGUUUGUGUAUGUUUCCGCUAGUGCUUUUCUCUAUUGAUGAAAAUGUGCAUGUGAUGAGCCUUGGGCGGAUAGGGGAAACUCUGUCCGUUCGGCGUCUGUUUGACGUGCUCGGGUCGAACCAAAUUGGUAUCGGUCCCGGGGCGUGACAUUCAGGGCCGCGCGUGGACUGCGCGGGCUAACAGGCCCGGUGCGGGCCGCGCGGCCCAGCGCUUGCCGAUCGCGCAGGUUGACCCGCGAACGGGCCCGCAGUUGCUCGGACCUGCUAAUUUUUUUUGGUUUUCUGCACCAUUUUUUUUAAUAAAUUUUUAAUAUGCAUUUUUUAUGGCUAAAUAUGCUUUUGUGAUAUAUAUGACGCAUGCAUUUAUUAUGUUUCAUGCAUAUUAAAAUAUUAUAAUGCCUGUUAUGAUGUAUAGAUGUAACUUUAGGCAUAAUAUAUUUUUUAUGCAUGCUUUGUCAAGUGGGAAUCUUUUAUUUUUGGUUGAGUAAAUUAUAUGCUUUUACUCCCAAAUAUUUUUGUGCAUCUUAAUUAUAUAAUUUAAAAAAUUUGACAUAUGGUGCGUGAUGAGAUUACGAGCAUAGCGAAAUUUUCCUUUACGCAUGUAUGAUCUAUUUUUAAUUUAUUUAAUUAGAGAUGCGGCAAAAUUGAAUACAUGUUUCGUGUACUAAUUUUAAAAUAUCUUUUCUGUGCAUUGCAUGAACAAAGUGAGAUUUAAUGGCUUCCAAACAAAUUAUUGCCGAUUUAAACAAGGGCGAGAAAUUGGAUGGUGACAAUUAUGAUAUUUGGCACCGUAAAAUUCAAUAUGUUCUCGCUGAGCAAGAGGUUUUGGAAAACUUGAGUAAUAAAAUGGACUUACCCACAGAGGACACCAGUGCUCAGGCUCGCCGAGAUAUGGAAGCCUACAAUAAUUGGCUUAAAAAGGAUCGCAUUGUUCGCAUCACGUUGCUGAGCAGUAUGCAGAAUGAUCUCUUGUGCGAGUGUGAGCAGUAUCCGACUGCGUAUGACAUGUGGGAGGCUCUCAAAGAAAAAUUUGGUGCAACUUCGGCUACAAGGUUGCGCAGUCUGACUAUGCGGUUUGAUAGUUAUAAAAAGCGUGUCGAUUAGACUAUUAAAUAGCAUGUUAGAACAAUGUCAAACAUGAUUCGCGAGUUAAAGUCGGCUGGCGGCACCUUGACUGAUGAGCAGCAAAUCCAAGCUAUGAUUCGCUCCCUUCCCAAUUCGUGGGAACAUAUGCGAGUAAAUUUGACCUAUAAUGACAAUAUCAAAACUUAUGAGGAUGUUGCGCGUCAUUUGGAGUUGGAGGAGGAGCGCCUUGAGGCUGUUAAAACUCCAACUGCCAAUGCUGCUCGGUCAAACUUUCGCAGGACAUCUGGGUUCAAGCGAAAGAGGACUACUGGGGCUCAAAAUCAUAGCGAAUUCGCGCCUAAGAACGCGAAGAGCACUAAAAGAAAGAGAAACAAACGAGGUGGCAAGAAGGACAAGUCAAAGAUGACUUGUUUCAACUGUAAUCAGCUGGGACACUUCGCUCGUGAUUGCACUGAGCCGAAGAAGGUACAUCUCUAUCCCGAUUCUCGUUCUUUUGUUUCUUCUAACAUGUUUGUUGCUGAAUCUCUUCCUGUGUGGAUUGUAGACUCAGGAGCAACAGUGUAAGGUACCGGACUUCUAAAACUAUGAAGUUAUGGUGUACAUUUAAAUGGUUCCGGUGAGGUUGCGGUGGAAUGUGACAUACCAGAUUUUAAAUAUAAAAGUGAAAAUAAAUAAAAAUAGUAUGAGAUACUAUUUUUAUUGGAUUUAGAGAAGUGAAAUAUAAGUUGGGAAUGACCUGUGCUAAAAUCGGAGCGAAAAUAGAAGAUUUAGAAUUUUCUGUAAGAAACGGGGCAGAUAAAUUAGCAGAAAAUGCACAGUGUCAGAAAAUUAUGAAAAUUGGCGGAGAUGUCAGAAAGAAAUAUUUUUAUGAGGCUAGAUUUAAAGUUUCAUGCCAUUCUGACACCCGAAAAGUAAAAAAUAGAAUCCGAAAGCUAUUUGAUAAAGAUUACAGUUCGGUACAGUUUCGGUGACCAAACGGGGUCGAAACUGAAAUAUUAAAAUUUAUUUGGACUUAUUAAGUAAAACCGAGCCUGCUUGUCAAAUUUGAGCUCAAACGGACAUUCAGAAGGGCUCCGGCGAAAAAUAUCAGUUUCUAAACUGCCCGAAGUGAAUAGUGCAUAGUUAAGGGACUAAGUUGUAAAAAGGGGUUUAAUCCCUUUUCUUCUUCUCCUUCCUCAGCUGCAGUAGCCCCAAACCGCACACACACAUACGCAUACACACACGCAUGGAAGGGAGAGAGCAAACUUCCAUUUCUCUCUCUAAAUCUCUUCCAAAAUUAAAGGAAUUGGUGGAGAUUGAAGCUUGUAGGUAAAUCGUCUUCAUCUUCUUUAUCUUCUCCAUGGUUUGGAGCUAAUUUUGAGGUGAGCUUCUUGAGCCCUCUCAUGGUAGAUCUCUAGGAUUAGCUCUAUAUGCUAUAGAAAUGGAUUUAGUGGCAUUCUUAGAUGCUAAUUAGAUGUUUUAUUGCUUGAAUCCAAGGUUAUAUUGUGUAUUCUUGUAAUAGAUGAAACCUAGGGUUCAAAGUGCAAUUUUUGGAAAUAGUUGGGUUUGAUCUCAAUUUACCCUCCGUAAACCUAAUUGCUAGGUAACGAAACGCGUUGGCGAAGACGGUUCGGUAAUCCGACGAGCCGUUACAAAGUUAUUAAAGAAACGGACGUUUAGCCUUUGUUUCCGCCUGGAGGGCCGAGGCGACGUCGUAAAAUCGUGAAAACCGAUUUGAAGCACCGUGGCACAUAACCAAAGACCUUUAAUUUUCGGAUCGCAAAUCGGAGAUCGUUUGAGUGGUCGCGUGAGAGUUCGAGCCAAACCGGGUCGCGGGUGUCGCGGGCGGCCGAUUGCAAGUGCUGACAAGUAAUCGGAACGCGAAUUGAGGUGGGUUAUGCUUACCGAAGC